rnacentral:rRNA from 1 species
CAGCACCUCAAGUGGUCAGGAUGAUUAUUGGGCCUAAAGCAUCCGUAGCCGGCGCUGUAAGUUUUCGGUUAAAUCUGUACGCUCAACGUACAGGCUGCCGGGAAUACUGCAGCGCUAGGGAGUGGGAGAGGUAGACGGUACUCGGUAGGAAGGGGUAAAAUCCUUUGAUCUAUUGAUGACCACCUGUGGCGAAGGCGGUCUACCAGAACACGUCCGACGGUGAGGGAUUAAAGCUGGGGGAGCAAACCGGAUUAGAUACCCGCGUAGUCC